rnacentral:rRNA from 1 species
CGAGAGAUGAGGAGCUUGCUCUUCAAAUCGAGUGGCGAACGGGUGAGUAACGCGUGAGGAACCUGCCUCAAAGAGGGGGACAACAGUUGGAAACGACUGCUAAUACCGCAUAAGCCCACGGCUCGGCAUCGAGCAGAGGGAAAAGGAGCAAUCCGCUUUGAGAUGGCCUCGCGUCCGAUUAGCUAGUUGGUGAGGUAACGGCCCACCAAGGCGACGAUCGGUAGCCGGACUGAGAGGUUGAACGGCCACAUUGGGACUGAGACACGGCCCAGACUCCUACGGGAGGCAGCAGUGGGGAAUAUUGCACAAUGGGGGAAACCCUGAUGCAGCGACGCCGCGUGGAGGAAGAAGGUCUUCGGAUUGUAAACUCCUGUUGUUGAGGAAGAUAAUGACGGUACCCAACAAGGAAGUGACGGCUAACUACGUGCCAGCAGCCGCGGUAAAACGUAGGUCACAAGCGUUGUCCGGAAUUACUGGGUGUAAAGGGAGCGCAGGCGGGAGAACAAGUUGGAAGUGAAAUCCAUGGGCUCAACCCAUGAACUGCUUUCAAAACUGUUUUUCUUGAGUAGUGCAGAGGUAGGCGGAAUUCCCGGUGUAGCGGUGGAAUGCGUAGAUAUCGGGAGGAAACACCAGUGGCGAAGGCGGCCUACUGGGGCACCAACUGACGCUGAGGCUCGAAAG